rnacentral:rRNA from 1 species
UAAGCGGAGGAAAAGAAACCAACAGGGAUUGCCCUAGUAACGGCGAGUGAAGCGGCAACAGCUCAAAUUUGAAAUCUGGCCUCGGCCCGAGUUGUAAUUUGCAGAGGAUGCUUCUGGCGCGGUGCCUUCCGAGUUCCCUGGAACGGGACGCCACAGAGGGUGAGAGCCCCGUAUGGUCGGACACCAAGCCUGUGUGAAGCUCCUUCGACGAGUCGAGUAGUUUGGGAAUGCUGCUCUAAAUGGGAGGUAAAUCUCUUCUAAAGCUAAAUACCGGCCAGAGACCGAUAGCGCACAAGUAGAGUGAUCGAAAGAUGAAAAGCACCUUGAAAAGGGGGUUAAAUAGUACGUGAAAUUGUUGAAAGGGAAGCACUUGUGACCAGACUUGGGCCGGGCGGCUCAUCAGGGGUUCUCCCCUGUGCACUCCGCCCGGCACAGGCCAGCAUCGGUUCUCGUGGGGGGAUAAGACCGUCAGGAACGUAGCACCCUCCGGGGUGUGUUAUAGCCUGGCGGACGAUACCCCCGUGGGGACCGAGGUUCGCGCUCCGCAAGGAUGCUGGCGUAAUGGUCACCAGUGACCCGUCUUGAAACACGGACCAAGGAGUCGUCCAUUAGAGCGAGCGUUUGGGUGUAAAACCCGCACGCGUAAUGAAAGUGAACGCAGGUGAGAGCUUCGGCGCAUCAUCGACCGAUCCUGAUGUUCUCGGAAGGAUUUGAGUAAGAGUUUUAACGGACGGACCCGAAAGACAGUGAACUAUGCUUGUAUAGGGUGAAGCCAGAGGAAACUCUGGUGGAGGCUCGCAGCGGUUCUGACGUGCAAAUCGAUCGUCAAAUAUGAGCAUGGGGGCGAAAGACUAAUCGAACUGUCUAGUAGCUGGUUACCGCCG